rnacentral:rRNA from 1 species
UACAGAGGGGGCAAGCGUUGUUCGGAAUUACUGGGCGUAAAGGGCGCGUAGGCGGCCUGCUAAGUCGAACGUGAAAUCCCUGGGCUCAACCCAGGAACUGCGUCCGAUACUGGUUGGCUUGAAUCCGGGAGAGGGAUGUGGAAUUCCAGGUGUAGCGGUGAAAUUCGUAGAUAUCGGGAGGAACACCAGUGGCGAAGGCGGCUCUCUGGGCAGAUACUGACGCUGAGACGCGAAAGCAUGGGGAGCAAACAGG